CUUGGGUACUCGAGUGGCGAACGGGUGAGUAACACGUGGGUGAUCUGCCUUGCACUCUGGGAUAAGCUUGGGAAACUGGGUCUAAUACCGGAUAGGAACCGUCUUUAGUGUGGUGGUUGGAAAGUUUUUUCGGUGCAAGAUGAGCUCGCGGCCUAUCAGCUUGUUGGUGGGGUAAUGGCCUACCAAGGCGUCGACGGGUAGCCGGCCUGAGAGGGUGUACGGCCACAUUGGGACUGAGAUACGGCCCAG
rnacentral:rRNA from 1 species